AAUGGCUCGUUUGUGCCAUAUUUGUAAUGUUCUGUUUCAUGUACAGUUUAGUUUUGUAAUUAAGAGAAAAACUGUACAUAGUUGCAUAGACUCCUGUGGCAGAAAUGAUGUAUUCAUAACCAAACAGCAAAAACAGUCACAGUCCUAAGCGUUAUCAGAAAUUUAAAUGGCUCGUUUGUGCCAUAUUUGUAAUGUUCUGUUUCAUGUACAGUUUAGUUUUGUAAUUAAGAGAAAAACUGUACAUCGUUGCAUAGACUCCUGUGGCUGAAAU
rnacentral:lncRNA from 1 species